rnacentral:tRNA from 1 species
GCGGGUGUCGUAUAACGGCUAUUACCUCAGUCUUCCAAACUGAUGACGCGGGUUCGACUCCCGCCACCCGCUCCA